AGCGGGGUGGAGGAGUGGUACCUCGAGAGGCUCAUAACCUCUAGGCGCACGUUCGAAUCGUGCCCCCGCAA
rnacentral:tRNA from 8 species